AACAACUGAAAUCAUCCCGUCCUGCAGCAUGCACCUAUGUGAAUGUGGAGAAUGACCAGCAAUGUCCAAGUAAGUUAUAUGUAUAUGCCUGUUCUUUCUUGAAGUCAAUUAGUUCUGAUUGAGAUUUACAGAUAAAAAGCUGUCCACAGUUUGUCAGGAACAAACAUGAAAAUAUUGCUUUCUUUGACCCUGAUUACAUUAGCACAUAUGAAGAAUGAAACUUCAAAUAGGAGUUAUCUCAGCAUGUGUAAUUCAUGUUUUUGGAACCUUUCACCUCCAAGUUAAAGCUGGUAGGUAACAUCAGGUCAUGACUAAGGAUGUAACAAUAUCAACAUUUCACGGUAUGAUAUCGUCAUAGUGUUAAAGCCAGGGUAAGAUAUUGUUACAAAAAUGUCAAAGUGUGUUAAAUGACGUGGGAGGAAUGUUUAGGAUAAACACACUUACUGUAAUUGAACACAAACAUCAUUUUCAUAUGUUGUAAUCAUAUUUAUCAUUAAAAACAGGUAUUUUAGGUGCAAAGGAAUGGUGCAGAAUUUCAAGUAACACACAAAAACCAACAUUUUCAAAUAAGUGUCUUUAAACUGACAUAAACAGUAAACAUCCAGUGUAACUAAUGUAGAACAAUAAUGUUUCUUUUGCCAAGAAACUAUACUGUGUGUCCGGUAUGUUUUUUUUUCAAUACAACUUGGUAUUAUUGUGGGUUUGAUGACCUUUUUAGCACAUUCAACAAUACUGCCAUUAUAAUGCAAACAGUGAUCAUUUUGGUCACAGUAACGGUGAUAUGACAUUUUGAUAUUGUUACAUCACUGCUGUUUAGUUGAGUGUUUUUAAACUUUGAACUUCCUAAGAAACUGCCCUUUGCAGUCCAAAUUGUAUUAGUUUGUAGAAUACUGAUUCUUAAGAGUUAACUAAUAAUUUGACUUUUAAUCAUGUAAAUACCUCACAAAUGCAUAUUGUCCCUUGCUGACAUCUUGGUUUCACAUGAACGAUAUUUUCCAAAUAACGGUUCUAACAUAUAACUCAUUCUAAUAUAUUACUCCUAUUCCCUAACUUAUUGUAGACAUUGUGGUGUGUAGUGUCAGCAAAUGUCUUAUUUUGUGCAUGUCCACAUUUCCUCUGGUGAGCUGCAAGGGCUCUGGGUCGAUUUGGAAAUGGUCUGGAUGAACGUGGCAUGCUUUACCUUGCAGUAUGCAGACUUUGUUUAAGGUUCAACUAACACGACAGUUAUAGGCACAGAAAUAUUUCACAGCAACAAUUCCUCGGCUAACCUAAGCACAAACGUUCCCAUCACUCCUGCACACUUCCACUUUUUCGCCCUUCUAUAAUGUCCCGUUUGAACCUUGUUUUCCCACACGGCGGGUUUUCAUGGGAGAACCAGUUUACUUCUCAGAUGAGCCCACUUAAUAUUGUCAGAAAAAAACACAGCGACUGGUGUUCUCGUUUGAUAGCGUCACACAUCACGGCAUUAUUGUGACAAUUUUGAAAUCAAAAUAAGGUUAUAUUUACAAUAAUGUUGCAUCCCUCGUCAAGAUCCUUUCUCAUAGGUUUGGUUUGCUGUUGUGUAUUUACUAAUGAUUGGCAUUAGCAUCCACAACUUUCUUUUUAUAGUGUGUGUUGUAUUGUGAUGAGUUACAUUUAACACUGUGGAUGAUGUGUUACCACAAACACAGAAGAUACGUAAACAUGAACUACAAUGCGCUCAAGAUGUGGGGAAAAAGGAAAUGCAUUCCAUUAGCUGGAUUUGUAUAAUGUGUUCAAUUUAUGUCAACUUCCUUCUUGUUUUGCAUGUUUUUGUCUGGUUUUUUUUUUUUCAAUGAUUUGAAUCUUUAGAGUUUUUUGGUUCCUCUUCUUUGUGUCAGGGGGUAGCAGCAGGGUAACACUGCAUGAGGCGGUGCCCCCUGAAGGAGCCCAAAACACUGCUCUUCAAAUGGAACACAUCCAACCUUCAGGUGACCGUGCAGGAUGUACCACUCUGGAACAUCAAGCCUCUCCCCACCUGCCAGGUACACCCACCGUCUUCUGUGGCUGAAUAAUGUUUUGCUGUGAAUUUUGUCUCAAAGCAAAUCCUGCUCAAAUGUGACAAACUUUGGAGUGUAAGAAUGUGAGCGAUAUGCUGAGAUGUUAUACGUUUUGCCUUGUGACAAAAUGUUAUCAAAAACCUUUAGUGAUUUGUAUUCUAUUUUACUUUCAGCACAUGAAAAUAUUUCUACUUCUGACCAUCGAAGAGAAUGGAAAACCAUUUUCCAGAUCAGCCCUCAUACAUCCUCCUGAUGGCCUAACAACUGAAUGACAUGUCGAUGCUGAGUAUGAUCCAUUUCAAUCAUUUGAGGAAGCUCUCCCUGAUAUAGGGGAUUGGAUGUACAAUGACGGACAUACGUUUAAUGAAGGAUUUGAAGAUGGUUUGAGUGAGGAGUGUGCAGAAGAGUCCAAUUUCAAGGACACAACAGACAAACCAAUACAUGACAAUGCAUCAGAAACCAUGGCAGAGUGCCUUCUGAUCAGCAUGGGUUAUGUAAACUGUCCUAAAGUCACAGGUAAGGCCCUAAGCCAUAUGCUCAAAAUGUUCAAGUUGCUUUAUCCCGAUAGUCUGAACACAGACUGCUUAAACAGUGUGCAGAAGUUCCAAAACUUUUUUUUAUCCCACUCUGCAUCAUCGCCUACUAUAUUACAUAAAUCCUCCAAGAAUUGUUUUGGGCCAAUAGAAAGUAAACAAAUAAAAUGCCUGCUUUGUGGUACCAGUGUGUCAGAAGAAAGAUUCUCAUCCUUUUUUUAAAGUAUGUACAGAUUGAUUUCUUGUUUACCACAGCACAUUCAUGUGCCAAAUGGGCCCUCGUUGGUGAAUAUAAACAUGCAGGUUUUUCUUUGCUGCAAGAUAGUGUAACAUAUGAGACAUGCAGUCAUGUUAUUCCCCUAUUGGAAACCUCUGCAGUACAGUAGUAUUCUUGGAUGACAUAUUGGGUAAAGUUGUUUUCCUUGACUUCACAUCUAUGCCUGGCAUAGGGAUUGCAGUUCAUUUCCCCAACACACUUGAAAAGUUUGAAAUAAUGAAGAACUGAACUGGCCUAAGAAGCCACAAAUCAAAUCUUUAAUCAUUGUUAUAAAUGCUCUGAAAAUACACACUGAUGUGAUGUUGCCGUGGAUUCUGUAAAUAUGUACUGUAUAUGGAGUAUCAUUGUUGAUGAUGUUUUUGCAUUGUGUGUAAUAUUUCAGUGGCAAAUAUAUUACAUUUACUUGUUUAAUAAAGCCACUGUCCUUUUUAAUGAAUACAUAGGCCUACUAUGCUACUGUAUUUUAAUAUUAGUCCUUAUGAUGGUGGUUGAAGAGCCAAAUAUCUUCUGAAGUGGUACUUUGUUAAAAGAGUUUGAGAACCACUGCUCUAGAAAGUUCACAAAUGUUAAAAGCUCUUACAAAGUGUCUUGUGAUCAUAUCAGUAUUGUUUGGGUUCAGUUUUAAAUCUCACAAUUGUAGUCACUGAGUUACUGUACAUGACGUGUGGAUAAGAAAUCAACAAAUUAAGUCCAACUUUAUUUAAAUAAACCAUUUAGAUUACAGACCAUAUAUCCAUAUUGUCUGAAUUAAUUAUUUUCUCCCAAUGUUGGCAUGAGAUCAACUGGAAUAUGAUUGAGGUAUAACUAAAUUGAGCCCAUUAAAAUGCAUUUUUUUAGAAAACGGGUAUAUCUAACAACUCAAAUAGUGAGCAGUGAGAGACAAAACCAAGUAUAUCUCUCACUGAGACAUCAUUGAGACAUAUUGAAACCAAUACUCAUCAAUUGUCUUUUUGCCGAAAUAGAAAAGAGACAUCUGAGAACUCAAACAGUGAGUAGUGAGAAACAAAACCAGGUGUUUCUCUCACUGAGUCAUAAUUGAGACAUAUUGGAGACCAGCUCAUUCAUCUCUCAUUUUGGUCUUAGUUGAAAUGGGGAAAAGAGAUAACUAUUAGACAACUAUGAGAUCUCUCAUAGUGCUCACUGUGAGCCUUAUUUCUCAGGAGAUACAUUUGAGAAGAAUGAGAAAACUACUUUGGUCUCCAUUAGUGCUCUUUUAUGUCUAGGAGAUAGAUAUAAGACAUACAUGAGAUCUCAUCUUCAAUUUUGCUUUGCUAUGGGAAACAAGAGUUUGAUGAGCAUUCCUCAACUUUUUCGGUCUUUUUUGACACUCGUGCCAGCUUUUUUAAAGCAUGUUGCAGGCAUCAAAUUCCAAAAUGAGCUAAUAUUUGCAAAAAAAAAAGUUUCUCAGAUCCAACAUCAAAUAUCUUGUCUUUGCAGUCUAUUCAAUUGAAUAUAAGUUAAAAAGGAUUUACAAAUCAUUGUAUUCUGUUUUUAUUUACCAUUUACACAACGUGCUACUUCACUGGUUUGGGGUUUUGUACAUGUUGACAGUACAUUGCAGUGUUAUUUUGUUACAGCCGUGCCCACUGUGUGAAGUACUUUUGCAAGACUCCUAGCAAUAAUAAUACACUUCACCAAAGAGCCUGCUGUAAAAGAAAUGACCAUUGAAUGAAGAUACAUACUCAGGUCACCGUGAUCUGAAAAGGAGAGUGAAGAAUGUUUUUGUAUUCCCCAGAUUCUAAUCAUCUUGGAUGAAUAAACAAGCAAUUCCUAAUUUCACUUGGAAAUGUGUUUACUAUAAAAGUGUAGCACUGUUUCCACACAAAAUACCUUCUGUUUUUGAAAAGAUGCCCAUGUGUGUCUUCCAGGUUGAACAUUCCACCCUUUGUGCCUGCCCGGACUGUGCUGGAAGGCCUCGAGUCAGAGGAUGCGUGUGAAGACAAGAAAGCUGUAAAAAAGGAGAUCCAUAGCAAAAAGGUCAAAUAAGUACAAACAAGUAUUUUACCUCGAUUAUUAACAGUUUAUUUUGCCCAAAAAUGUUAAGGGAGCCAAAAAGGACAAAAUGGAAGAGGAGAAUACAGACCUGCUCAGACUUUGCCACACAGUACCGCUGGAGGUGGUGAACUUCGGUGGGAAAGGUUACGAUCCAGAGAAGAAAGACUACUCAGGUUUUGAGGCCUGGUUGCAGUGUUACUAUGUGGAUGGAAUGAAGUCUGUACGCGACCACAAUGGCAGGACUAUGUGGUUCAAAGUAUGCAAACACAUUUUCAUACGUAACAACUAUAUUUGUAGCAUGUAUUGACUAAUAGAAAAUGGUGUCAUUUCAGGGCGAUCCAGGUCCUAUGGCUCCUAAAGGUAAACGCCAGAAAAAAUAGUUGAGAUACCAUUACACAUAAGAGAAAGCUUAGUGUGUCUUUAUCUUUUCUCACACACCAGAAUCAAAGUCUCCAAAGGCCAAAAAGAGAAAAGAUACAGAUGCAGACCAUGAUUACCCCCGCAAGAAAAAGGUAUAUUCAGUAGGUAAUCACCACCAGCACAUAGAAAUCUAACCCCAUUGUGGCUGUACUUCAGGUGUCCAGGAAACACAACUCUGACAGCACAGUGAAGAAAAAAGCAGCCAAAAAGCCCACAAAAGCAGCAAAGGAAGAAGAAAAUGGACCUCAAGAAGAAGCCACACCCAGAAGAAGAUCAGCAAACACACCUCAGCAAGAACCGAAAUCCACGUCAGGCAGGAGGAAAAAGAACAAUACAGAGCCAGCUGCAGGUCUGAUUCUAAUAAUACUCCCAUUUUCUGAAAAUAUUAAGAGCCUGAUCUUUGAGGAUCCAAUUCCCACACACUUAUCUGUGUGCGCAAACUAUAAAAUUGCAUGUACUGUUGGUGGACGUGUUGUAUGUGAUCUACUUUGUGCAAUUGAUAGCAGCAAAAGUGGCACAGAUCACCCUAUUUUUGUGUACUAGAAGCAUUAUGUGCCCUUGGAAACACUUCUUUCCCUCUACAUUCAUGUUAUUAUGCUCUCCACACUGGAGGGGGGCUUAUAUUAGAUUAUAGCACAUAUCGAUCAUCUAACACCUUUUCUGCAAUAUAGAAUCACAGAAUGUAUACUAUUUGCAGCAGGAAUGAUCAAACUGCAUAUUGCAAGACAUUUUUUUUAGGAGUUAUACUAAAUACAAAAAAAAAAACGCAACGCUUUUGUUCUUGUUCCCAAUUUGAAUGAACUCAAAGAUCGAAAACUUUGACUAUAAACACAAAAUACCUGUUCCUCUCAAAUAUUGUUCACAAAUCUGUAUACAUUUUUUAAUGAGCAUUUUUUCUUUGCCAAGAUAAUCCAUCCCACCUGACAGGUGUGCCUUGAGCUGUCCAAAAUAAAAGGCCACUGUGAAAUGUGCAGUUUUAUCACACAACACAAUGCUUCAGAUGUCGCAAGUUUUGAGGGAGCGUGCAGUAGGCAUGCUGACUGCAGCAAUGUCCACCAGAGCUGUUGCCCGUCAAUUAAAUGUUUAUUUCUCCGCCAUAAGAAUAGAAUAGAAUAGAAAGUACUUUAUUGAUCCCUGGGGGAAAUUCAGCACCACAGUUCGCUCACAAUAAACAAUGAUAAUAAUAAAUAAUAUAAUAUAUAUGAAUAAUAUAAAUAUAUUCUACAUUUAAGUGCAGUCAAGGAACAUAUGCAUUAUACAGUCGGAUGGCUGUCGGUGUGAAGGACCUCCUGUGUCGUUCCGUGUUGCAUUUUGGGAGUCUGAGCCUUCCACUGAAUGUGCUCAUUCUCUCUGCAAGGUCCGAGUGUAGUGGGUGGGAGGUGUUGUCCAUAAUGGCUAGGAGUUUUGCUAGACUUCUCUCUGACACCACCGCCAGAGAGUCCAGCUCCACUCCCAUCUUGUUACUGGCCUUCUCUACCAACUUGUCCAGUCUGUAUGUGUCCCUCACUCUCAGCCCACUGCCCCAGCAGGCCACGGCGUACAAGAGGGCGCCUGCCACCAGCGACUCGUAGAACAUCUUCAACAUCUUUGUACAGACGUUGAAGGAUCCUAGCCUCCAAAGGAAAUAUAGAUUCGGCUCUGUCCCUUCUUGUAGAGGGCCUCAGCGUGUUUUGACCCAUUCAGCUUGUUGUCCAUGUGUACUCCGAGGUAUUUAUAAUCCUCUACCAUGUACACAUCCACCCCUUUGAUGGAAACAGGGGUCGCCAGAGUACUCCUCCUCCUUCCCAGGUCCACAACCAGCUCCUUGGUCUCCGUAACAUUGAGCUGGAGGUGGUUCUUUCCACACCAUGUGACAAAGUCCUCCACCAGUGUCCUGUAUUCCUCGUCAUCACCUUCCUCAAUACACCCCACUAUCGCAGAGUCAUCAGAAAACUUCUGAAGGUGGCAGGACUCUGACUGAUAGUGGAAAUGGGUGGUGUAAAUGGUGUAGAGGAAGGGGGAAGAGUACUGUAGCCUCCGGGGCCCCGGUGUUGCUGACCAGCCUGUCAGACACACAGUCCUGCAGUGGCAUAUACUGUGGUCUGUCAGUCAGGUAAUCUACAACCCAGGACACCAAGGGGGCCUCCACCUGCAUCUUCUCCAACUUCCCACCCAGUAGCCCAGGCCGUUUAGUAUAAGCCGCCUCCAAAGGUGUUUCAGAGAAUUUGGCAAUACAUCCAACUGGCCUCACAGCCGCAGACCAUAUUGAUUGGCUGAGACCUGCCACCCGGACAGCUGCUACAACAAUUGGUUUGCUUAACCAUAGCAUUUCUGCACAAACUGUAAGAAACUACCAUGAAUUGAUUAACGUGGACCCCGACUUAAACAAGUUGAAAAACGUAUUGGGGUGUUACCAAUUAGUGGUCAAUUGUACGGAAUAUGUACUGAACUGUGCAAUCUACUAAUAAAAGUAUCAAUCAAUCAA